GCAGGAAGUGCUUGCACUUCGCUGACGAGUGGCGGACGGGUGAGUAAUGCUUGGGAACUUGCCUUUAGGUGGGGGAUAACAGUUGGAAACGACUGCUAAUACCGCAUAAUGUCUACGGACCAAAGGGGGCUUCGGCUCCCGCCUUGAGAGAGGCCCAAGUGAGAUUAGCUAGUUGGUGGGGUAAAGGCCUACCAAGGCAACGAUCUCUAGCUGUUCUGAGAGGAAGAUCAGCCACACUGGGACUGAGACACGGCCCAGACUCCUACGGGAGGCAGCAGUGGGGAAUAUUGCACAAUGGGGGAAACCCUGAUGCAGCCAUGCCGCGUGUGUGAAGAAGGCCUUCGGGUUGUAAAGCACUUUCAGUUGUGAGGAAAGGUUGGUAGUUAAUACCUGCCAGCUGUGACGUUAACAACAGAAGAAGCACCGGCUAACUCCGUGCCAGCAGCCGCGGUAAUACGGAGGGUGCGAGCGUUAAUCGGAAUUACUGGGCGUAAAGCGCACGCAGGCGGCUUGUUGAGCUAGAGGUGAAAGCCCCGCGCUCAACGUGGGAACUGCCUUUAGAACUGGCAGGCUAGAGUCUUGGAGAGGGGAGUGGAAUUCCAGGUGUAGCGGUGAAAUGCGUAGAUAUCUGGAGGAACAUCAGUGGCGAAGGCGGCUCCCUGGCCAAAGACUGACGCUCAUGUGCGAAAGUGUGGGUAGCGAACAGGAUUAGAUACCCUGGUAGUCCACACCGUAAACGCUGUCUACUAGCUGUUUGUGUAUUUAAUACGUGAGUAGCGAAGCUAACGCGCUAAGUAGACCGCCUGGGGAGUACGGCCGCAAGGUUAAAACUCAAAUGAAUUGACGGGGGCCCGCACAGCGGUGGAGCAUGUGGUUUAAUUCGAUGCAACGCGAAGAACCUUACCUACUCUUGACAUCCAGGAAAUUUUCAGAGAUGAAUUAGUGCCUUCGGGAAUCCUGAGACAGGUGCUGCAUGGCUGUCGUCAGCUCGUGUCGUGAGAUGUGGAUAGUCCCGCACGAGCGCAACCCUGUCCUAGUGCAGCAUAGUGGGCACUCUAAGGAGACUGCGGUGACAACCGGAGAAGGUGGGGACGACGUCAAGUCAUCAUGUCCUACGAGUAGACUACACACGUGCUACAUGGCCAGUACGAGGAAGCGAGGACGAGUAGUGGGAAACGAACCCUCAAACGUGGUUGAUUCGCGAAAUGAGAAUGCAACGGCACUCAUGUAGUCGGAACGCGCUCUGAAAAUGUCAGGCGGUCCGCACUACUGAU
rnacentral:rRNA from 1 species